AGAACAGAGGAAAACAACUUUAUCCAAGUUCACAUGGGAGUGAACCCUAUUCCCAAAAAUGGUUUAAGGAAGUAAGUUUAUUUUUAGUAUUAUUUAAGGAUUUAUUAACAGUUAUAUGAAAACUUAAUAAUAGUUUUUUUUUCUAACUCUAUAUAGAGAAAAGCAACCCGAAAGGUGAAUUAUAUUGAGGGUUGGAAGAAGAGUCACUAUAAAGAAGGUCGUGGAUGGUGCAACAUGCGAGCACAACAAGAUUGGGUAAGUAAAAAGUUUCUAUAUUAUUAUGGUAUUAAAAGUGGAUUACCUAUAUUGCUUAUAUUGCUAUUUAAAACAGAUUAAAUAUAUCGAAAGUAGAUUGCUAUGAUAGGUAUGAUGAAAUUUUAGACUUAUUGUUCUUAUUAAUUAUAGUUGGACAGGUUGGUUGUCUUCUUUAUAGUCGUUAUGCUGCCGAUUUUUAGUUAAAAAAAACUAAUGUAUGUUUAUUGUUUUUUUGUUGUAGGUUAAAAUUGAAAAUGAGUAUAAGAAAAUGUUGGACGAGGUUGGUGGUGAUGAAUCGAAAGUCAAACAGCUAGAAUGCUUGGCUCGUGUACUUGGAGAAAGGAGAGGUCAUACACGGGGUGUUGGUCGAAAAGUGAAAAAUGUAGCACCUUAUAAUAUCCCGACUCCUUCAACAAAUAAUGUAGACCUCAAUGCAUUUGCUCUUCAGUUGAAUCAACAAUUGA
rnacentral:lncRNA from 1 species